rnacentral:rRNA from 1 species
GAUGAACGCUGGCGGCGUGCUUAACACAUGCAAGUCGAACGGUGAACACGGAGCUUGCUCUGUGGGAUCAGUGGCGAACGGGUGAGUAACACGUGAGCAACCUGCCCCUGACUCUGGGCUAAGCGCUGGAAACGGCGUCUAAUACUGGAUAUGUGACGUGACCGCAUGGUCUGCGUUUGGAAAGAUUUUUCGGUUGGGGAUGGGCUCGCGGCCUAUCAGCUUGUUGGUGAGGUAAUGGCUCACCAAGGCGUCGACGGGUAGCCGGCCUGAGAGGGUGACCGGCCACACUGGGACUGAGACACGGCCCAGACUCCUACGGGAGGCAGCAGUGGGGAAUAUUGCACAAUGGGCGCAAGCCUGAUGCAGCAACGCCGCGUGAGGGAUGACGGCCUUCGGGUUGUAAACCUCUUUUAGCAGGGAAGAAGCGAAAGUGACGGUACCUGCAGAAAAAGCGCCGGCUAACUACGUG